rnacentral:rRNA from 1 species
GACAGAGGGUGCAAACGUUGUUCGGAAUUACUGGGCGUAAAGCGUGUGUAGGCGGCCAUGUAAGUCGGAUGUGAAAGCCCCGGGCUUAACCCGGGAAGUGCAUUCGAUACUGCGUGGCUUGAGUAUCGGAGAGGUUGGUGGAAUUCUCGGUGUAGCGGUGAAAUGCGUAGAUAUCUGGAGGAAUACCGGUGGCGAAGGCGGCAUCCUGGACCGGCAUUGACGCUGAGGAGCGAAAGCCAGGGGAGCAAACGGG